rnacentral:rRNA from 3 species
GUGGGUAGUUUGACUGGGGCGGUCUCCUCCUAAAGAGUAACGGAGGAGCACGAAGGUUGGCUAAUCCUGGUCGGACAUCAGGAGGUUAGUGCAAUGGCAUAAGCCAGCUUGACUGCGAGCGUGACGGCGCGAGCAGGUGCGAAAGCAGGUCAUAGUGAUCCGGUGGUUCUGAAUGGAAGGGCCAUCGCUCAACGGAUAAAAGGUACUCCGGGGAUAACAGGCUGAUACCGCCCAAGAGUUCAUAUCGACGGCGGUGUUUGGCACCUCGAUGUCGGCUCAUCACAUCCUGGGGCUGAAGUAGGUCCCAAGGGUAUGGCUGUUCGCCAUUUAAAGUGGUACGCGAGCUGGGUUUAGAACGUCGUGAGACAGUUCGGUCCCUAUCUGCCGUGGGCGCUGGAGAACUGAGGGGGGCUGCUCCUAGUACGAGAGGACCGGAGUGGACGCAUCACUGGUGUUCGGGUUGUCAUGCCAAUGGCACUGCCCGGUAGCUAAAUGCGGAAGAGAUAAGUGCUGAAAGCAUCUAAGCACGAAACUUGCCCCGAGAUGAGUUCUCCCUGAGACUUAGAGUCUCCUGAAGGAACGUUGAAGACGACGACGUUGAUAGGCCGGGUGUGUAAGCGCAGCGAUGCGUUGAGCUAAC